CCUACGUGAGACAGCAGUGGGGAAUAUUGCGCAAUGGGCGAAAGCCUGACGCAGCGACGCCGCGUGAGGGAUGAAGGUCUUCGGAUCGUAAACCUCUGUCAGCAGGGAAGAACGGUCACUGUGCUAAUCAGCAGUGAAUUGACGGUACCUGCAAAGGAAGCACCGGCUAACUCCGUGCCAGCAGCCGCGGUAAUACGGAGGGUGCGAGCGUUAAUCGGAAUUACUGGGCGUAAAGCGCUCGUAGGCGGUAUGUCAAGUCAAGGGUGAAAUCCCCGCGCUCAACGUGGGAACUGCCUUUGAAACUGGCAAACUGGAGUGUGUGAGAGGAUAGUGGAAUUCCAGGUGUAGGAGUGAAAUCCGUAGAUAUCUGGAGGAACAUCAGUGGCGAAGGCGACUAUCUGGCACAUAACUGACGCUGAGGAGCGAAAGCGUGGGUAGCAAACAGGAUUAGAUACCCUGGUAGUC
rnacentral:rRNA from 1 species